rnacentral:rRNA from 1 species
UACGAAGGGGGGCUAGCGUUGUUCGGAAUUACUGGGCGUAAAGGGUGUGUAGGCGGUUGUUUAAGUUUGGUGUGAAAUCUCCCGGCUCAACUGGGAGGGUGCGCCGAAUACUGAAUGACUUGGAGUGCGGGAGAGGAAAGUGGAAUUCCUGGUGUAGCGGUGAAAUGCGUAGAUAUCAGGAGGAACACCGGUGGUGUAGACGGCUUUCUGGACCGUAACUGACGCUGAGACACGAAAGCGUGGGUAGCAAACAGG